rnacentral:piRNA from 1 species
UCACUAUGUAGUUUUGGCUGGCCUGGAU